CGGGUCUGGGCCCCUCGUCCCUGCAGCAGGUCUGGGCCACUCUUCCCUGAGUUUGAUGCUUGGUUUGGAGUCAGGGCUCUGAGCCCAGAGUCCCUGUGGAAAACACAUCCCUCCACUGACUAUGGCCUCUGUCCCACAACCUCCCCCCUCCCCAGGCCUGUGUGUGUUUAGACAGCUUGCCCUGCAUUUUUAGAACAAUUUUUAACUUGUAGGCUGUACCUGCGGAACCAGAAUGUCUGGCCAAGACCUGUUACCUAACAGCCUCAGACCAUUUGGGUGCCAACAGCAACUGCAGCUCUGGCCCAAGCCAGGUGUGGGCUGACCUAGCCAGGGAGCGGGGAAGUGAAAGGAAUGGGUCCCUUCCCACUCAGAGGGCGGAGCCCCCACUUCUGGUGAGAGAAAGCUGAGCAGAAUGGAUCUAAUCUGAUUCCUCCACCCAGAAGCCCUUAAAAUGCAGCUUUGUUUUAAGCCUUCUUGAAGAUUUGGGCUAGAUCUAGAAAAGAACCUCACCACGGAGGAUGUGCAAAGUACAACACGUGACCCCGGAGACGGAAGCUCUUCUCUACCUCCGUAAAGAUGAUCUCUGAUGAACAGACAUGAUCAUGCCUGGAGAACAGGGAUGGACAGUCCCGCUUCUGAAAGACCCUGUCUGGCUGAUGAUUCAUGGUGCGCCGGGCAGACCCCAGGCCAAGAGACCCCACCCACAGUACCUGAGUGCUCAGCUGGGAACCAGACCAGACCUCAAAACAGGUUUGCAGAAUUAAGAUGAGGAGCUGAGCUCAACACAGCCUCCGCAGCUCCCCAGGGCGGGCCUGAGCCGAGGGAGAGCCCAUGGCCAUCAGGGUGCUGGAAUGCAUGUCACACUGCAUUACGUGCAUUACGAUCCACGCUGCAAUGACAGCCCAGAGCGUGGAGAACCCAGAGAGGGUGGGGAGAUGGAAUCCCGGCGAGCCAGCGCUGGCAGGGACCACGGGGAGCAGCUGGUCCAGCCGCCGGUUUUCCAAGAGAGAAGACUAAGAAGUGAGUCACUUGCCCACAGCCACAGAGAGAAGGAGGGCAACGAGGCCGGCAGGUCAGCAGCGAGCAGUUAGUUCAAGGCCUUGAGGGCUUCCACUAACUUUGAAGGGCGAGGAUGGGCGGAGCUCUGGAGGCCGCCGGGACCAGCCCCCCAGCAUUGACCUGGAUGCCUGCCACAGCCUCCUCCCUGGUCUCCGGCCUCCCACCUCUGCUCCUCGGUCUCCUCUACCCAGCCAGUAACUGCAGAGAGCACUAAAGCACAGUCCUGGCAUCUCACCCCCUUAACCCUGGCCACGGCUUCCCAGUGCCUCCAAGAUAAAGCACCAACACCUGAGGACAGCAGCUUGUUUUGAGAGUCCCCUCCAUUGAAACACGCACAUCUAAUUUGUCCUUCAGUUCGCUGGACUCCACGCUGAACGUGCCAUGCUCCAUUGCCCCGUGAGUAACUCCAUGCUCUUGCCGGUUUCACACGGCCUCUCAGAGCUGGAGCCUUUGUUCAGGAGCCCUGGGCAGCUUUCAGGAAGCUCUUGGGCUCAUCAGCUUCCUCUGGCUGAAGCCGCCCCAGUGGAAUCAUGGGGAUUUCUUACUUUGAAGGUGGGGCCACCCGCAGACUGUAACCGGCUGGUUCAAGAUCAAGGACUUCCCCAGGCCACCUGCCUCAGAGGCAAGAAAGGCUCAGCUGAGUCCCAGACACUCCUCGCUGUGGCCCCUCCUUCCUCCCUGCUGGGCAGGCCCCCCUCAAUUCUGUUUGCCAGCAGGGCCUAGUAACACUGAAAGACGAAAAGGGAAAUAAAAUAAACACAAUUAAUAGGCUAAAGGUUACUGAAUAAAGUGGCAGCAGUAAAUAAAUUGACUACUGUGCAAAUACAAAGACAUGAAGACAUGAAACCCCUGCUCUAAAUGACCACUCACCAAGAGCAAGGCCUGGGCUGGAGGCAGGGAGCACCUCCCUAAGGAGCACUCCCUCUUUCCCGGAGUGAGUCCUCCUUCUAGAUGGAAUUCAGUCCGGGUUCCUCUUGAGCCACAGUCCCUGUUGGGGCCUAUCUCAGUGGACUCAAGAUCCUGAACUUCUUCCAGAUUGCUGACUACACAUUUGAGUCACCCAGAGAUUAAAAGAAAAAACAAAUAAUUUCCCAGUGAUCAGGAGUAAAUCAGCUGGGGCAGGGUUGGUGCUAUGAAUGACCACACUGAUUUGUACACUUCACUGAUUUGUAGUGUUUGCUAUUUCCGUCGUGUAAAUACUGCCAACAUGGACAAUCUUCAGUUGCUAAUGGUUUACUAACUGGCUUGUAAAUGAAUUCAUUCAGUAUUCAAGAAAAUGGCACUACAUUUAGAAACAUUUUGUAGCAUUUCUUACUUUCUAAGAAUUUCCAAUAGACACCAUGAUCACUAAAAAAUCAUAACCAGGCUGGGGGCAGUGGCUCACGCCUAUAAUUCCAAUAAUUUGGGAGACCAAGGAGGGAAGAUCACUUGAGGCCAGGAGUUUGAGACCAGCCUGGGCAACAUAGCAAAG
rnacentral:lncRNA from 1 species